AUGCAUUGUCAUGAAAUAUGGAGGCAAAGUCUUAAAGUUUCUCAUCUGAUAUUUGCAGAUGAUCUAAUUCUAUUUAGGAAAGCUAUUGUAAGGGCUAAGAUCACUAGUUGGAAAGGUAAAAAGCUUUGUUAUGCUGGUAGAGUAACCCUUGCCAAGACUGGAAUAGAGGCCUUUCCAACUUACACCAUGAUGAAUAACAAAGUGCCUACUACUUGCUUGAAGGAAAUACAUAAUAUUCAAAGGAACUUUAUUUUGGGUCAUAGUGAAGAUGAGACGAAAAUGCAUACCAUUAGUUGGAAAGAGAUUACAAAACCUAAAAAACUCUGA